ACAUGUGGCUAUACCUCCUUGAAAGUGUCUAACCUGACCUCAUCUCAGAAGCUAAGCAAAAUCAGGCUUAGGUAAUGUGGAGGGGAGAUUGCCUGGGAAUAUUUGGUACUGCAUCUG
rnacentral:rRNA from 1 species